GUGGAAGAAAAUGUAGGGUUGCUCACCAUCCGCCAGCAAUACCAUAAACUUGCCCUGCAACUUCAUCCGGACAAGAACAAACAUCCAAAGGCUGAAAUUGCUUUCAAACUUAUUUCUGAGGCAUAUAUGUGUCUGUCUGAUGCUGAAAAAAGGAAAGGUUUUGACUCAAAAAGAUCUAAAAAUUUCUGCUUUGAGAGCAAUAAAA